GCAUAUCAAUAAGCGGAGGAAAAGAAACCAACAGGGAUUGCCCCAGUAACGGCGAGUGAAGCGGCAACAGCUCAAAUUUGAAAUCUGGCCCCAGGCCCGAGUUGUAAUUUGCAGAGGAUGCUUUUGGCGCGGUGCCUUCCGAGUUCCCUGGAACGGGACGCCAUAGAGGGUGAGAGCCCCGUACGGUUGGACACCAAGCCUUUGUAAAGCUCCUUCGACGAGUCGAGUAGUUUGGGAAUGCUGCUCAAAAUGGGAGGUAUAUUUCUUCUAAAGCUAAAUAUUGGCCAGAGACCGAUAGCGCACAAGUAGAGUGAUCGAAAGAUGAAAAGCACUUUGAAAAGAGGGUUAAACAGCACGUGAAAUUGUUAAAAGGGAAGCGCUUGUGACCAGACUUGCGCCCGGUGAAUCACCCAGCUCUCGCGGCUGGGGCACUUCGCCGGCACAGGCCAGCAUCAGCUCGCCGUCGGGGACAAAAGCGGUGGGAACGUAGCUCUCUUCGGGGAGUGUUAUAGCCCACCGCAUAAUACCCUUCGGCGGGCUGAGGUACGCGCUCCGC
rnacentral:rRNA from 1 species